UAGGGAAUCUUCGGCAAUGGACGAAAGUCUGACCGAGCAACGCCGCGUGAGUGAAGAAGGUUUUCGGAUCGUAAAACUCUGUUGUUAGAGAAGAACAAGGAUGAGAGUAACUGUUCAUCCCUUGACGGUAUCUAACCAGAAAGCCACGGCUAACUACGUGCCAGCAGCCGCGGUAAUACGGAGGAUGCGAGCGUUAUCCGGAUUUAUUGGGUUUAAAGGGUGCGCAGGCGGCAUGGCAAGUCAGCGGUCAAAUCCCGGGGCUCAACCCCGGUUCGCCGUUGAAACUGCCGCGCUAGAGUAUGUGCGAGGAGAGCGGAAUGCGUGGUGUAGCGGUGAAAUGCAUAGAUAUCACGCAGAACGCCGAUUGCGAAGGCAGCCCUCCAGCACACCACUGACGCUGAGGCACGAAAGCGUGGGUAUCGAACAGGAUUAGAUACCCUGGUA
rnacentral:rRNA from 1 species